UCCGGUUUGUCACCGGCAGUCUCCCUAGAGUCCCCACCAUUACGUGCUGGCAACUAAGGACAAGGGUUGCGCUCGUUGCGGGACUUAACCCAACAUCUCACGACACGAGCUGACGACAGCCAUGCACCACCUGUCACGGGCCCUUACGGACACUGUAUUCCUACAGCUUUUCCCGUGAUGUCAAACCCAGGUAAGGUUCUUCGGGUUGCAUCGAAUUAAGCCGCAUGCUCCGCCGCUUGUGCGGGGACCCGUCAAUUCCUUUGAGUUUUAGCCUUGCGGCCGUACUCCCCAGGCGGGAUACUUAAUGCGUUAGCUUCGGCACGGCAGCCAUUGGUAUAACCGCCACACCUAGCGCCCACCGUUUACGGCGUGGACUAC
rnacentral:misc_RNA from 1 species